GGAAAGUGUCGUUUUUUUUUUGUUGUUUUUUUAUUCAAUGAUAGCCGUAAUAUUCGUUUAUAUCGUAUAUUUUAUAAGAGAAAAGUACGACUCAAUGUGCUGCAAAUUCAAAAUGAAGUCUGCACACACUGUGACAGCCAUGUCCGGAGACAAGCCAUAGCUAUACAAUGCAGCAGUUUUGUUUGAUGUGGUAUGACAAUGAAAGCAAUUACUGAAAUUUAGCUGUUUUAUAGACAGAGAUUAAUUGGAGCUCAUGUAUAAUUGCGAAAAUGAAGAGAAUGCCACCAACAAGGAUUUACCAUACACAAUGAACAACAGAAAUGGAUGUCAUACAAGUAUGCGUUGCUUUUGUUUGACUGUGAUGGUACUACGGCUGUUGUCCAUAGACGUCAACUGCCAGAGAAUGC